rnacentral:rRNA from 1 species
UGGGGAAUAUUGCACAAUGGAGGGAACUCUGAUGCAGCGACGCCGCGUGAACGAAGAAGGCUUUCGAGUCGUAAAGUUCUUUUAUAUGGGAAGAUAAUGACGGUACCAUAAGAAGAAGCCCAGGAUAACUACGUGCCAGCAGCCGCGGUAAUACGUAGGGGGCUAGCGUUGUCCGGAAUCACUGGGCGUAAAGGGUUCGCAGGCGGAAAUGCAAGUCAGGUGUAAAAGGCAGUAGCUUAACUACUGUAAGCAUUUGAAACUGCAUAUCUUGAGAAGAGUAGAGGUAAGUGGAAUUUUUAGUGUAGCGGUGAAAUGCGUAGAUAUUAAAAAGAAUACCGGUGGCGAAGGCGACUUACUGGGCUCAUUCUGACGCUGAGGAACGAAAGCGUGGGUAGCAAACAGG